AAUGAAGUGGCUGAAUCAAGGCGAUAAACUGUAAAUUUAUUUAUGAAUUUAAAUUCCUUCAUUA
rnacentral:tRNA from 1 species